rnacentral:rRNA from 1 species
CACGAACGCUGGCGGCAGGCCUAACACAUGCAAGUCGAGCACCCCGCAAGGGGAGCGGCAGACGGGUGAGUAACGCGUGGGAAUCUACCCAUCUCUACGGAAUAACGCAUGGAAACGUGUGCUAAUACCGUAUACGUCCUUCGGGAGAAAGAUUUAUCGGAGAUGGAUGAGCCCGCGGUGGAUUAGCUAGUUGGUGGGGUAAAGGCCUACCAAGGCGACGAUCCAUAGCUGGUCUGAGAGGAUGAUCAGCCACACUGGGACUGAGACACGGCCCAGACACCUACGGGAGGCAGCAGUGGGGAAUAUUGGACAAUGGGCGCAAGCCUGAUCCAGCCAUGCCGCGUGAGUGAUGAAGGCCCUAGGGUUGUAAAGCUCUUUCACCGGUGAAGAUAAUGACGGUAACCGGAGAAGAAGCCCCGGCUAACUUCGUGCCAGCCGCCGCGGUAACAC